AAUUUUAUAAUUUAUAUAGGAAGUAAGAAAAAAAAUAUAAAACAAAAUAACGUGUAAAAUAAUUAUUAUUAUUCGUGAUGGCUCUGUGUAUAAUGGUUAUAAAACGCGUGUAGAUGUAUGUAAAACCGAACGAACAAAACAAGCACGUCUGCGACUAAUAUAUAAAAGGUUUCGACUGACAUAAAAAUUGUCCAUUAGCAUCUUAUAGAGGCCGGUAAUUAACGUACUGAUUAGAGACAUUUUUAGCGUAUACAUAUAUCUAUGCGUACCAAUUUGUCGAUUAUGAGGUCUUUCACAUUUGUCGAUUUUCUGAGAUAAAAUAAAUUUGACAAUUAACUAGCGCCGUCUAUAUCCUUCUCUCCCCCUACUUGUUACACACACACACGCGCUCGUUCGCUUGUAAGGAGGCUCGAACGGACCGAGCCAGUCGUCUCCUGAAAGUCGACUGGAAAAUUGGUGAUUCUGCACCGAGAGCGUUCGGAUCUUCUAGUCCGCGACGCUUUACGCGUUGAGCGCGACAACAAUUUUAACGCCGCCUUAACCUUGGGUAUUUUGAUACGCACACGGUUUUCGCGAGUACAUACGUAUUGCAAAUACGGUCAUGUUUACCAUACAUACCAAACCCAUACGUAAUGUAUAUUGCUAUAAUUAUUUACAUUUAUUGUGUUAUUAGUGUCUACCGAGAGGUGUGCGAGUGUGCGCUCGGAACGCUGUGCGGUGCGAACAAAUCUAGCGCAAGGUUGGCAAUAUGUCACCGAUGUCCACAUCGGGUGUCCUGCGUGCACGAUCAAUUAUCAGCGACGGGUAUGAUGAUUACGAGCGUUUAAGAAACCAAACCCAACACAUGGCAGUGAAGCGGCCGCGCGCCAAGUCCGUACAAAUCGUCGUCGUCCGAUUGUUGCAUUUUAACGUUUAUCAAAAAACUGCUGUUUAGUAACCAUCCGACUUGCAGGACGUUAGCGUUAUGAGCGCGCAACGUAUUAAAUGAUACUUAAUAUUUAUGUAUUGUACUGUAAUAUACUCACGCUUGGAUAUUGCA